GGUAUAGCUCAGUUGAUAGAGUGCUUGCCUUGCAUGCACAAGGCCCUGGAUUCAAUCCACAGCACCA
rnacentral:tRNA from 1 species